rnacentral:rRNA from 1 species
CUACGGGGGGCUGCAGUGGGGAAUAUUGGACAAUGGGGGAAACCCUGAUCCAGCAAUGCCGCGUGUGUGAAGAAGGCCUGCGGGUUGUAAAGCACUUUCGGUUGGGAGGACUGCUUCUAGCACUAAUAUUGUUGGAAGUUGACGUUACCUUCAGAAGAAGCACCGGCUAACUCCGUGCCAGCAGCCGCGGUAAUACGGAGGGUGCACGCGUUAAUCGGAAUUACUGGGCGUAAAGCGCGCGUAGGCGGCUAGAUCAGUCGGGUGUGAAAGCCCCGGGCUUAACCUGAGAACUGCAUCCGAUACUGUCUAGCUUGAGUACAGGAGAGGGGAGUGGAAUUCCACAUGUAGCGGUGAAAUGCGUAGAUAUGUGGAGGAACACCAAUGGCGAAGGCAGCUCUCUGGCCUGAUACUGACGCUGAGGUGCGAAAGCGUGGGGAGCAAACAGGAUUAGAUACCCCCGUAGUC